rnacentral:lncRNA from 1 species
AUGGAUCUACAGAGUACAUUUCAAUCUCUCUUUCUCACCUUAUCCACCGUCGCACUCCGACGGCGGCACCUUCGAGAAUUAAAGCCUCACCUUUUCUGAUAACUUUUGCUAACUUCUUUAAAAAAAAAUUGAAUUGAAAAAUUGGUUGCGUCAACCCAAAGGCUGAAUCUCUUUCUUUUUCUUAACUCACCCGUACUCCGACUACAACCACCACCGAUUGCAACUCAUGGGCAGAAGAUUUAUAGGUGCUCGAUUGUUUGAUUCGCCAAGUUUCUCCAAAAGAAGGCGUGGAUGAAUUUGUAAGUGCUGUACAUUCUUUUCUCUACCAGUUUCUUUUCUCUACCAGUUUUUUUUUUUUUUUUUUAAAUUGAUGGAUGCAUUCUUGAAGGUGUUUUAGCAUUCUGUUUAUUCAUACACGGGAAAUGGGUUUAAGCCACUUCUUAGGUUUUUUCUAAAUUUCGUUUGCCCAAUUUCUUCAGUCUCUGUUUAUUUUCUGUGUGCCGUGAAAAUGUAUCGUUAAUGGAUUGCAUCAAUUCAAUUUGUUUUUUUAAAAGUACAGAGUGAUCCCUUACCGCUGUACCAUAUUAAAUUCUAAACAGAUAGACGCUGCAGCAAAUUAUGAAUGCUAUCAGUGAACGUUGCUGCAAAUUGACGAAUGAUAGACUUACCAAUUUUGAGUUGCUAUAAACAAGUUUUUAGGGAAAACAUGUUAACAUUCAAAUUAAUCAAGAUUACAUUACAGGUAACUCCUGUGAAUUUGUAAGACAGACAACAAUAUCAUCACUUUUAGACAAUAAAGUUUCAAAUGGCACGCCAUAUUAGCAUUCUGGAAUUCGAAACACUUGGACCUCACUUUUGCACUUCAUUACAAAUCUAAACACAACUACCUCAUAUUAUAUAUAUAAACAAAUAUGGAAAGCAUGAUCACUUAGCAGUUAUUUGACUUUAUUUCUUCGUAAAACAAGGAAAGCAAAAGUUCAAUUGAAAUAGAAUAAAAAUGGUGAAAUACAAAUCUAAAAAAGAAUUAAUUGAAGAAACACAAACACAGACACAGAUAGAAACUUAAAUAUGGCAUGGUCCUCGUGUACAUAUAAAUUGUACAUUUCAUGGACUCUGUUUUUUCAUUCAUAGAAUCGGUGAAAAGUCUUAACUCUGCCAUCUUUAAUUUGUCUUCACCGUCCAAAAAUUCUUGCACUUGUUGUACAUAUUUAUUCUUUCUCAAAUAAAUAUUUUGCUUGAAAUAUUGUACUGUUCUUGGAUUUUUAAAUAUAUUUCUACUUUUUCUCGCAAUGACCUGUUUAAUAAGGUCGGAAUGAUUCUUUUAUCUAUGCUUUUAAUUGAGAAAACUAAUAAGAUCCUCAAUUUAGGAGGUGUCCUCAAUUGAAAUUGUGAUGGAUUUUAAAAAUCCUUAUAUAUUUAGGUGUUCUCAAUUUAGAUUUUAAUGGAUUUUAAUGAAAUCUAUUAAAAUUUAGGAGCCCCCAAUUGAUAUUUUAAUGAAAUUCAAUGAAAUCUUUUAAAAUUUAAGUAUUCUCAAUAAUUAAUGAAUUUAUAAAAAUUUCAUUAAUAGAAUGAUUUAAAAAGAUAUGGAUGUAUUUCAAACUUAAAAAUACAUAUAAUCAAAUGUUUGAAAUUUCACCAUAUUUGACGAGUUUAUAGAAUUUGAGGAAAUCUAUUUAAGUUCAUGAAGUUCAUUAGGGUUAAUCAAAAUUUUAAUUGAAGACAAAAGCACUAUUUUGAGAAAUUGGUUAUCUUGAAAUGCAAUAUGAUAGGUUAAAAUUGUUAUAAUAAGCAAUUUCAUUUCUCAAAUGGUUUAUUCUUUGAUGAGCACAAGAUCUGCCAAAGAACCAUACAACACAAAGUACAUUGAACUUACCGUCGUGGUAAUUUUUUCUACUUGAAAAAUUUGUAUUGAGAUUUCAGAUGCUUGAGUGAAGAAAGCUGACUAAGAGAUGACAAAAUGUUUCGAUCAAAUUAAUUGUCACUAGAUAAAGGGCAGUUAAAGCUCUCAAUCGAUUGAAAAUAAUGUGAUGAAAUUAGUUAAUGCAACUACAUCUACAAGUGAUGGCGAUGGAGAAAGCGAGAUGGAACAAUUCUGCCAACAAAUAUAUGUAACGCACCGACCCGCAUGGAUCUAAACAUCACAAGAUUAAUUGUACUCUAGCCGUAAACUUAAUAAUUUACUAUACUUUUAGCGGAAAGUAUAAAGAUUUAAUUUAAGAAUUUAAUUUAAUUUAAUUUUAUAUAUAUACUUUUUAAAAAAAAUAAUAAUUCCAUACUAAAUGAUAAUCGUCUAUUGACGUGAAACUUUUUGGCAAAACUUUAAAAAUAAUGUUGCUAUUUUAGUUUUUAUCUCAAACGGAAAUUGAUGAAAUAAAUUUAUUUGCAUAGCUAUCGACCUCGAAACUUGGUGAAAUUUUAUUGUAAAGUAGAAAACUCCUUAUAAUAUGAUAUCUGAAAAUCGGCUUCCGUUGGCAGCAUAUAGGAUGUUAAAAUAUUUUUCAAAGCCGCACAGUGACUUGAGUUGGAAAGUAACCCAAUACAACAUACUUUAUGUGUCAUAUAAAAUUUUACACACAACGAAUCGAUAUGAUUUCAACUAUAUUCAGUAGCUAACCCUUGAGACUAUCAAACCCAAAUGGUUUUCUCCAAAAAUCUCAAGUAAUGAGCGAGUUAUAAAUUUUUGAAACCAAGGGCAGAAGCUGAAGAACAGCAUUACUUUAAGUGUUAAAUAAAAUUUUUCAAACAUCGAAUUGACAUGAUUCCAAAUUUGUUCAGUAGCUAACUUAUGAGGCUACCCAACACCACAAGUUUUGUUUAAAAAUUUCAAGUAACGAAUGAGUUACGAAUUUCUAAAUUCAAGGCAGAAAUUGAAUUAAAAAAAAAAAUAGCAAACUUUAAAUUGCUAUCACUGAAUUUUUUGUUUUGUUUUUUUUUUUUUAACGGAAGCCAUGGAAUCUAAUUUGAAGAAAACAUAAACAUUUCAUAAUCAAACUAAAGAUAUUAAAUUAUCGGCUUCUCCAUGGCAUGUUACAUCUCCAUCUACCAUCAUCCACGGCCCCAAGCAAGUCAAAUCAAUUUGUAGAAAGAGAAUUAACCCAUGAAUUUGAAACUCAAUAGAUGUCAUUAGCGCAUUUCAUUAUCAAAUUAGAAAUUUCAAACUAUAAAUUCAUACCGUCGCACAUAGAUGAAUUUUCAGCAAAAUUCAAUUACUGCAGCAUUAUCAUAAAAUGUAGAGCCGGAGAAUGAUCAUUCAAACUAUAGUAAUGCCGAAGUACCAUACCAUUAAAAUACUUGCACCGUAUACCCGGAGGUACUAUUUCAUUCAAGAUCAUGCAUAUACUUUCUGAUCAUCGAUAUAUGAAACACAUCGUGAACAGCUGAUUGUUCAAACGGCAAAGCUAAUCAAUAAACCACAUUUUCGACCCUAGCAAGUAUUUCAAAAGGUCCGAUAUAGCAAGAUUGUAGUUUGCUAUUCUUGUCGAACCUAAGUACACCCUUUAUUGGUGCCACUUUUAGAAAAGCUUUCUCUCCAAUUUCAAAUUUCAAGUCUUUUCUUCUAGUAUCUACGUAGCUCUUUUGUCUAUCUUGUGCUGUCUUUAUCCUAGUAUAGAUCUUGUCAACAACUUCGACUGUCCUUUCAAUGAUCUCUAGUCCCAAAACUCUUUUUUCUCCAACUUUAUGCCAAUGAACAGGUGAUUUGCAUCUUCUACCAUAUAGAGCUUCAUACGAUGCCAUUCCGUUAGUUGCAUGAAAACUAUUAUUAUAUGCAAGUUCCACUAAAGGUAGAUAUGAUUCCCAACUACCUCCUAGAUCUAGAACACACGCCCUUAGCAUAUCUUCCAAAGUUUGAAUGGUCCUUUCAGAUUAACUAUCGAAUUGAGGAUGAUAUGCCGUACUGAAAUUCAAUUUCAUUUCCACAGCUCCUUGUAAACUCUUCCAAAAAUUUGACGUAAAUCUCGGAUCUCUAUUAGACACAAUGGACAUGGGGAUACCAUGCAAUCUUACAAUCUCCCUAAUGUACAACUAUACCAGCUGAUCUUGAUUGAAUAUCAUUUUUACUGAAAGAAAAUGAGCGGGCUUCGUUAAACGAUCCAUUAUUACCCAUAUAGCAUUGUGUCCUCUUGCUGACUUUGGAAAUCUUACCACAAAGUCCAUUGCAAUAUUCUCCAACUUCCAUUUAAGUAUGUCUAAUGGAUUUAAUAACAUUGUCGGUCUUUGAUGUUCUACUUUAACUUAUUUGCACACUAUGCAUUUUGCCACAAAUGAUCCUAUACUUCAUUUCAUAUUCAUCCACCAAAAUGUAUUUCAAAGGUCUCGAUACAUUUUCGUACCACCAGGAUGUGUGGUGUACGGGGUAAAAUGACCCUCCUCCAAAUAUCUCAUUCCUCAAAAUUUCAUCCUUAGGUACACAAAUUAUUCCUUUAAACAUCAGUGUCUGAUCCGAAGAUAUUCCAAAAUCCUUUUUCUUAUCAGUACCAAUCUCGUUCUUGAUCUUCUGCAAGAAUGGGUCUUUACUCUGUGCUUCUAUGAUUCGAUCUCUAAGAGCCUAUAGGUGGAACAAUCAAAGUUGCUAAAUGAGCGGUGACUUGUUCUUAUGUUGUAAUCCCUUCGAUUCGCAAAUUUUUCAAGUCUUUGAUUAACUCCAUCUUAGUAGUAGGUAAUGAUGCUAGCUGUCCCAUCGACUUCCUACUUUGAUCAUCGGUAACAACAUUAUUCUUAUCAGGAUGGUAAUGAAUAGUGCAAUCAUAAUCAUUUACUAGCUCCAACUAUCGUCUCUACCUCAUAAUCAAUUCCUUCUGUGUAAAGAAGUAUUUAAGACUCCUAUGAUCCAUGUAAACAUCGCACUUUCCUCCAUAUAGGUAAUUGUGCCAUAUCUUUAAUACAUGAACUACCGUCGCAAGUUUAGAUCACGCGUCGGGUAGUUUUGUUCAUGUUGCUUCAAUCACCUUCACGCAUAGGCAAUUACUUUUUCAUGCUACAUUAGUACACAUUCCAAACCUUGUUUGGAUGCAUCACUAUAUAUAACAAACCCUUCUGAACCUUCAAAUAUGGUUAAUACAGAUACUGUAAUCAAUCAUUGUUUUAGCUCCUGAAAGCUUUGCUCACACUUAUAUGUCCAUUGAAACUUUAUUCCUUUCCUUGUCAAUUGUGUCAUUGGUCCAACUAUUUUAGAGAAUCCUUGAUGAAUCUUCGAUAGUACCCAGCCAAUUCCAGAAAACUUCGAACUUUACCAGCGUUAGUCGAUGUCUUCCAAUCAGUUACUGCUUCGACCUUUACUGAAACUACUUCAAUUCUUUGGACAGUAACUAUGAUCGAAGAAUCCAACUCGCUCAAACCAAAAUUCACACUUUUUAAAUUUGGCAUAUAACUUUUUCUUGCACAAUAUUUCUAGAGCUAUUCUAAGAUGUUCCUCAUAUUGAUCUUUACUUCUGGAUUAUAUCAAAAUGUCAUUAGUGAAUACUAUGACAAAUUGAUCAAAAUACUUAUGAGAUACACGAUUCAUUAGAUCUAUGAACACUGCCAGAGCAUUUGUCAUUCUGAAUGACAUAAUUGUGAACUCGUAAUAUCCAUAACGAGUUCUGAAAGCCGUCUUAGGUAUAUUACUGGCCUUAACCUUCAAUUGAUGAUAUCCAGAUCGUAAAUCGAUCUUAGAAAAUACUUUUGCCCCUUUCAAUUGAUCAAACAAAUCCUCAAUUCUCGAGAGAGGAUACCUAUUUUUGAUGGUCAAACAAUUCAACUCUCGAUAGUCGGUACACAUCCGCAUAUUACCAUAAUUCUUCUUUACAAACAAUAUCGGUACGCCCCAUGGUGAUACACUUGGUCGAAUAAAGCCAAUGUCUAACGAUUCUUGUAACUGGAUUUUCAAGUCCAAAAAUUCUUUUGGGGACAUUCUGUAUGGAGCUUUAGAUACUAGUGCUGCUCUGAGAGCCAGAUCUAUUGUGAAUUUCACUUGUCUAUCUGGUCGAAUACCUGGUCGAUCUUUUGAAAACACAUCUAUAAAUUUUUGUACCACUGGUGCAUCCUUAAUCUUUAUCGUUGUCAGUUCUUCACCAGAGAUAUUAACUAGAAAGCCAUGAGAUGUUUCCUUUCUCAACGUUUCUCGGCUUGCAAGGCAGAUACCAGUUGGAGAUAGGGUUUGGUCUUUAUUCCAAGGAAAGAAAAUUGUUCUUCUCUCGGUUUCUGAAAAGACACUUCUCUUUCUCUACAAUGAAUGGUUGCAUAAUUAUAUCUUAAUCAAUCCAUGCCCAAAAUUACGUCAAAGUCAUUCAUCUCUAUCACAUACAAAUCAGUUUCAAAUGUUUUUCUCUCAAUUUUAAGAUUCAUCGACCUAGCGAACUGAUUUAUGUUCAAUAUUCUAUUUGAGGGAAUGCUAACUUCUAGUGUACUCUCUUACUUACCACAAUUAAUACAAGAUUUAGCAAUAAAAGAUGUUGAUACAAAAGAGUGAGUAGCUACUGAAUCAAAUAGUACAUAAGCAGGUAUAUCGGAUAUCAGUAAUAUACCCACUAUCACAUUUGAAUUCUCCUCUGCAUCCUUAUGAGUUAUUGUAAAAACUCGUGCUUUCCCCCUUUUUUGUUCUGAUCACUGUUAAAGGUGGGACAAUCCUUAGUAAUAUGUCCUGGUUUAUCGCAUCGAAAAUAGUCAUUCUUUCCAUACAAGCAUUUCCUACGAUGAGGCAUACCACACUUAGGGCAAGGUACAACUGCAGCUACUAUGGCCUUAUUGGCAUUAGAUCCGAUGUUAACUUUCUUAUUUUGUCAUUUGUCCUUUCCUUUGUCUUGACCAUUCCACUUUCUCUUUCAAAUUUGCCCUUUAUCCUGCUGGUUGUACAAAUGACGAUGUUGCUCUGCAUUUGCCUUCUGAUACCAAAUAGUGUGAGCUCGUUCCAGCAUUUCACGGUAUGAUAUGAAAUGAUGUGACAUAAGAAUUUAGCUUAGGCCUGGGUUUAACCCUUGCUCAAACCUUCGAGUCUUCUUAAUUUUCGUGUCUACCAGGUGUGGAGCAUACCUUGAAAGUUGGUGGAAUUUUCGCUCAUAAUUAGUUAGGGACAUAUUACCCUACUUAAGCUGAAGGAAUUUGCUUUCCUUGAAAUCCGUUAAAGACUGAGAAAAAUACUAGUCCAUCACUUUCUCCUUGAAUUGUUCCCAAGUCAAUGCCAAUUGCUCUUUAGGGGUCCUGGUUUGGUACAUCGAAUCCCACCAGUGAUUUGCAUCACCGGUGAACAUAAACUCCACACAUUGGACCUUUUGGGCAUCAGUGCAGUUAAUGAGUCAAAAAAUUCACUCUAACUUACGAAGCCAUUUUUCAACUACUAGUAGACCAAAAGCUCCAUCGAAAGAAGGGGGCUUAUGCCUUCGAAAUAACUCAACUAUCGAGGCAUGAGUCGGAAGAGUAAUAGGAGCUGGAUUUUGAUUCAGCCUGCAAAGGUCUUGAAUCGCUUGUAGAAGAUCCCUUAUCAAAUUGUUCUGGUUUGCUCGAGAUAUUUCCCUAGAGAUAAGAUAAAAUAUCUCACAUUAACUUCGUUUUCCAACACAAGAGUAAAAAAAAGAAUUAUCUCUCAACUUGAUCAGAAUUUUUUUUUUUUUUUUUACACCUUGAAAUUAGGAUAUAUAAUAGUUCGAUAAAUUUUUACUUUCAAUAACAUAAAGAAAAAGAUAUCACAAGGAAAUGGAAUCUAAAAUUCUAAUACCUAUGAAUCUUGCGAAUCUUCUUCGAUGGAGCUUCAUCUUCGGAGGAGUUUUCUGCCUCAGGCCCUGACUCUAGGUCCAUCUCAACUUGUGGUUUAUGUUCAUGCUCAUGAUCAUUCUCUAAUUCCAACCUAAAGUCAUCAUUAUGCUCCCAUUUCAGAUUUUCUUCUAGGUCUGAUUCAAACUGAGAUUCGGGCUCGGGAUCAACCUCAUCAUUGGGCUCAAUUACUAUAUCCAGUUGAGGUUCUAAGCUCUUACUUCACUUGUCUAGAAAGAUUUGACAAUAUAUACCAAAUUCAACCCUCCAAAGCAUCUCAUUCCUAACCAUGACUCCCAUGUUUCCCCAUUGAGGUGAAGGUGAAUGUAUGAGGUUUUUCAUAGCCUCAAUAUGUGUGAUCUCCAGUCCCCGCAUUUACAGUUGUCAUAAAUGUCAUGUAGUGUUCAACAAGUGGACGAGACGGAUUAGUCACAAAGUUUUCUUAGGACUGAAUGAUGGACUUACGAUUCAAUGUUACUCUACAAGCUGUGGCCUUUCUAGCGGUCUGAUAAGUUCUAACCAUGUCUGUCACAUAAGUGUCCAGUUAUGUUUUAUCCCUGUUAGUGAUAUCAACUUAUACAUUAUGCUCUUGAGGUUUUAAUAUAAUGGUCGAUCAUCAUUUCUUCAUGUAUAUUUAAACAAAAUAUAAUUUACAUAAUAUAUUUCAUUCUAAACAUCAAAACAUUUUCAUAGAUUCAAGCUUAAAUUAUUUAUAAAUCAUGCUUCAAAAAAAAGUGGAACAUAAUAUUUUAUUUCAGACAUUGGGUUCGUCGGAUGAAGUUAACUGAUGGACGUAAGAUGCCAUGAGUGCCUUAAAUGUUUCAUUUUUCUCAUUUCAUAACUAUAAUAGACUAAGUCUACAGAAUCGACUAAACUCGUACUCUGAUACCACGCUAUAACGCCCUGACCCGCAUGGAUUGAAACGUCACAAGAUUAAUUGUGCUUUAGCCGUAAACUUAAUAAUUUACUAUACUUUCAGCAGAAAUUAUAACAAUUUAAUUUAAGAAUUUAAUUCAAUUACACACACACACACACACCUUUAAAAAAAACAAAAUAAUUCAAUACUAAAAGAUAAUCCUUUAUUGAUGUGAAACUUUUUGGAAAAAUUUUAAAAAUAAUGUUGAUGUUUUAGUUUUUAUCUCAAACGAAAAUUGACAAAAUAAAUUCGUUUGCAUAGCUAUCGACCUCGAAACUUCGUGCAAUUUUAAUGGAAAAUAGAAAACUCCUUAGAGAUACAAACGGCAUAGGGCAGAAAGAAAAAUAAAGACGGCAAUUGGUUAGAAAAUUUUCUAGAUUUUGUGCAAAACUACAUCAAAACAUCUGACGGACGACUAUUGGUGUUUCUCUAUGUAGUUGUCUUUAUUCAGAGAAGGCGAUUGUGCUUCUUUUGCUGUUGAUGACUUCCAGCCUCGAUUGCUGCAUAUGUUUUCAAUUUCUAUUUGAAUUCCCUCAAUUAAUUGGUGUUGGCUCCACUUUUUUGAAAAGCUUGUACUAAGGUAUUCUGUCUUGCACUUUUGAUUGAACGACUUCGGUGAAUGCUGAAAACACUAAAUUACACGAUUAUCGCAGUUCCUUCUCAAUGUCUAUCUCCAUAUAUCUCCGAUUACUAUGCUUCUAUUAUGCACCAGACUAAGUUAUGGAUGACAAUGGGAUAGCUAGUUGGUGGUUCUAUUGUUGAUCUGGUAGGUAAUUUACACAUGGCAAGUGAUUGCCCCAAAUUUGGAUUCCAUUCCAUGUUCAAACUUGCUACAAUUCGAGGUUAGAUAGGAAAUUUCUUAGAUUGAUUUGAACCAUCUAAGAUAACAAUUAGUCAUUGAUAUUAAGUUGCUGUGGAUAUAUCUUUCUAUCAACCAACACCUCCAUUUUUUUUAUUAUUCUACUAGCAAUUAGAAAUGAUUAUCUUUCUUUCUUUCUUUUUUUUUUUUUUUUUGGUAAACUUCAUGGCGUUUGCAAUUGUCUUUCUAUACCUAGUCGAACAUAACUAUAAAAAUUUCAUUCACAAGCUCUCUUCAUAUUCCUCAUUUGUAGGCUCAUUCAGGUUUCCUUUGCAAGUCUUCUGCUAAAGAAGCAUUCUUCAUUUCCAAAUAGUGUACUAGCUAUUCUAGAUUAAUGCAUAAAAGAGGAAUGUGAAGGUAAAUCGUCCUAUGAAUGUCUAGAUUGUGACAGUAUAGUUGACAUUUCAAUGGCCGGUGUUAGGUCUAAUUGUUGCGACUAAGUAGGCUAUGUUUUUUUUAUUACUUUUAAACGUUUGAGCUUGAUGCUUAUGAAACAAACAUUUCCCCAAGGGAGGAUCUAUUGUUUUUGAGUUCAUCAUAAGUCACAGGGUAAAAACACUAUGAUAUGGAUGCUAUUACAGAACAUAGAUUAUGAUAUUUAUACUUAUUUUUCUCUUGCAGAUUCAAUCGAACCAGGCAUUGGAUGAAGUCUCUAUUUCUAGCAUCCUAUGUGAUUUGGUCCAUGCAAUCAAAUAUCUUCACAGUGAAGGGAAAUACAUUACAAGGGGCCAUCAAUUAGCUAACAAAAAUCAGUUCUCAUCAUACUUUUAAAAUAGAGACAUACAUGGCCACAUUUUCUCAAUCUACAUUAGUGGUCUAUUAUUGGUGUAUCCUCUUAAUCUUUUAGAAGUAGUGCAAUAAGGUAUUACAGAUACCCUUUGAUUUUGUUGUUUUUUGUGGAGGAAGAUCACAUUUUCCUUCUAGUUGUUACAUUAAAUUCACAUUAUCAGUCUCGUGUCUUCUUUCUCUAAGUUUUUCAGUGCAUUAGCAAUCUCUUUCUUCAUCCUCUAAAUUUGUCAGAAAUGAUAAUCCAAGUAUUAUGUUUGGUAGUGCCAAACAUUUUGUUGAUAGAGAAUGGUGAUGUUAAGGUAUCCUCCUUCU